GAUGAAGAACGUAGCGAAAUGCGAUAAGUAAUGUGAAUUGCAGAAUUCAGUGAAUCAUCGAAUCUUUGAACGCACAUUGCGCCCGCCAGUAUUCAGGCGGGCAUGCCUGUUCGAGCGUCAUUUCAACCAUCAAGCCCCAGGCUUGUGUUGGGGACCUGCGGCUGCCGCAGGCCCUGAAAACCAGUGGCGGGCUCGCUGUCACACCGGGCGUAGUAGAUUUUAUCUCGCUCAGGGCGUGCUGCGGGUCCCGGCCGUUAAAAGCCUUUUUUUACCCAAGGUUGACCUCGGAUCAGGUAGGAAGACCCGCUGAACUUAAGCAUAUCAAUAAGCGGAGGA
rnacentral:misc_RNA from 1 species